UGGGGGAUAUUGCACAAUGGGGGAAACCCGUGAUGCAGCGAUGCCGCGUGAGGGAAGAAGGUUUUCGGAUUGUAAACCUCUGUGGAGGGGGACGAUAAUGACGGUACCCCUUAAGGAAGCCACGGCUAACUACGUGCC
rnacentral:rRNA from 1 species